rnacentral:rRNA from 1 species
GAAGAAAGAUGGGGGCGUGCUUAACACAUGCAAGUCGAACGGAAAGGCCCUGCUUUUGUGGGGUGCUCGAGUGGCGAACGGGUGAGUAACACGUGAGUAACCUGCCCUUGACUUUGGGAUAACUUCAGGAAACUGGGGCUAAUACCGGAUAGGAGCUCCUGCUGCAUGGUGGGGGUUGGAAAGUUUCGGCGGUUGGGGAUGGACUCGCGGCUUAUCAGCUUGUUGGUGGGGUAGUGGCUUACCAAGGCUUUGACGGGUAGCCGGCCUGAGAGGGUGACCGGCCACAUUGGGACUGAGAUACGGCCCAGACUCCUACGGGAGGCAGCAGUGGGGAAUAUUGCACAAUGGGCGGAAGCCUGAUGCAGCAACGCCGCGUGCGGGAUGACGGCCUUCGGGUUGUAAACCGCUUUCGCCUGUGACGAAGCGUGAGUGACGGUAAUGGGUAAAGAAGCACCGGCUAACUACGUG